rnacentral:rRNA from 1 species
GGGUUGUGAGGUUAAGCGACUAAGCGUACACGGUGGAUGCCCUGGCAGUCAGAGGCGAUGAAGGACGUGCUAAUCUGCGAUAAGCGUCGGUAAGGUGAUAUGAACCGUUAUAACCGGCGAUUUCCGAAUGGGGAAACCCAGUGUGAUUCGUCACACUAUCAUUAACUGAAUCCAUAGGUUAAUGAGGCGAACCGGGGGAACUGAAACAUCUAAGUACCCCGAGGAAAAGAAAUCAACCGAGAUUCCCCCAGUAGCGGCGAGCGAACGGGGAGCAGCCCAGAGCCUGAAUCAGUGUGUGUGUUAGUGGAAGCGUCUGGAAAGGCGCGCGAUACAGGGUGACAGCCCCGUACACAAAAAUGCACAUGCUGUGAGCUCGAUGAGUAGGGCGGGACACGUGGUAUCCUGUCUGAAUAUGGGGGGACCAUCCUCCAAGGCUAAAUACUCCUGACUGACCGAUAGUGAACCAGUACCGUGAGGGAAAGGCGAAAAGAACCCCGGCGAGGGGAGUGAAAAAGAACCUGAAACCGUGUACGUACAAGCAGUGGGAGCACGCUUAGGCGUGUGACUGCGUACCUUUUGUAUAAUGGGUCAGCGACUUAUAUUCUGUAGCAAGGUUAACCGAAUAGGGGAGCCGAAGGGAAACCGAGUCUUAACUGGGCGUUAAGUUGCAGGGUAUAGACCCGAAACCCGGUGAUCUAGCCAUGGGCAGGUUGAAGGUUGGGUAACACUAACUGGAGGACCGAACCGACUAAUGUUGAAAAAUUAGCGGAUGACUUGUGGCUGGGGGUGAAAGGCCAAUCAAACCGGGAGAUAGCUGGUUCUCCCCGAAAGCUAUUUAGGUAGCGCCUCGUGAAUUCAUCUCCGGGGGUAGAGCACUGUUUCGGCAAGGGGGUCAUCCCGACUUACCAACCCGAUGCAAACUGCGAAUACCGGAGAAUGUUAUCACGGGAGACACACGGCGGGUGCUAACGUCCGUCGUGAAGAGGGAAACAACCCAGACCGCCAGCUAAGGUCCCAAAGUCAUGGUUAAGUGGGAAACGAUGUGGGAAGGCCCAGACAGCCAGGAUGUUGGCUUAGAAGCAGCCAUCAUUUAAAGAAAGCGUAAUAGCUCACUGGUCGAGUCGGCCUGCGCGGAAGAUGUAACGGGGCUAAACCAUGCACCGAAGCUGCGGCAGCGACGCUUAUGCGUUGUUGGGUAGGGGAGCGUUCUGUAAGCCUGUGAAGGUGUGCUGUGAGGCAUGCUGGAGGUAUCAGAAGUGCGAAUGCUGACAUAAGUAACGAUAAAGCGGGUGAAAAGCCCGCUCGCCGGAAGACCAAGGGUUCCUGUCCAACGUUAAUCGGGGCAGGGUGAGUCGACCCCUAAGGCGAGGCCGAAAGGCGUAGUCGAUGGGAAACAGGUUAAUAUUCCUGUACUUGGUGUUACUGCGAAGGGGGACGGAGAAGGCUAUGUUGGCCGGGCGACGGUUGUCCCGGUUUAAGCGUGUAGGCUGGUUUUCCAGGCAAAUCCGGAAAAUCAAGGCUGAGGCGUGAUGACGAGGCACUACGGUGCUGAAGCAACAAAUGCCCUGCUUCCAGGAAAAGCCUCUAAGCAUCAGGUAACAUCAAAUCGUACCCCAAACCGACACAGGUGGUCAGGUAGAGAAUACCAAGGCGCUUGAGAGAACUCGGGUGAAGGAACUAGGCAAAAUGGUGCCGUAACUUCGGGAGAAGGCACGCUGAUAUGUAGGUGAAGUCCCUCGCGGAUGGAGCUGAAAUCAGUCGAAGAUACCAGCUGGCUGCAACUGUUUAUUAAAAACACAGCACUGUGCAAACACGAAAGUGGACGUAUACGGUGUGACGCCUGCCCGGUGCCGGAAGGUUAAUUGAUGGGGUCAGCGCAAGCGAAGCUCUUGAUCGAAGCCCCGGUAAACGGCGGCCGUAACUAUAACGGUCCUAAGGUAGCGAAAUUCCUUGUCGGGUAAGUUCCGACCUGCACGAAUGGCGUAAUGAUGGCCAGGCUGUCUCCACCCGAGACUCAGUGAAAUUGAACUCGCUGUGAAGAUGCAGUGUACCCGCGGCAAGACGGAAAGACCCCGUGAACCUUUACUAUAGCUUGACACUGAACAUUGAGCCUUGAUGUGUAGGAUAGGUGGGAGGCUUAGAAGUGUGGACGCCAGUCUGCAUGGAGCCGACCUUGAAAUACCACCCUUUAAUGUUUGAUGUUCUAACGUUGACCCGUAAUCCGGGUUGCGGACAGUGUCUGGUGGGUAGUUUGACUGGGGCGGUCUCCUCCUAAAGAGUAACGGAGGAGCACGAAGGUUGGCUAAUCCUGGUCGGACAUCAGGAGGUUAGUGCAAUGGCAUAAGCCAGCUUGACUGCGAGCGUGACGGCGCGAGCAGGUGCGAAAGCAGGUCAUAGUGAUCCGGUGGUUCUGAAUGGAAGGGCCAUCGCUCAACGGAUAAAAGGUACUCCGGGGAUAACAGGCUGAUACCGCCCAAGAGUUCAUAUCGACGGCGGUGUUUGGCACCUCGAUGUCGGCUCAUCACAUCCUGGGGCUGAAGUAGGUCCCAAGGGUAUGGCUGUUCGCCAUUUAAAGUGGUACGCGAGCUGGGUUUAGAACGUCGUGAGACAGUUCGGUCCCUAUCUGCCGUGGGCGCUGGAGAACUGAGGGGGGCUGCUCCUAGUACGAGAGGACCGGAGUGGACGCAUCACUGGUGUUCGGGUUGUCAUGCCAAUGGCACUGCCCGGUAGCUAAAUGCGGAAGAGAUAAGUGCUGAAAGCAUCUAAGCACGAAACUUGCCCCGAGAUGAGUUCUCCCUGACUCCUUGAGAGUCCUGAAGGAACGUUGAAGACGACGACGUUGAUAGGCCGGGUGUGUAAGCGCAGCGAUGCGUUGAGCUAACCGGUACUAAUGAACCGUGAGGCUUAACCUUACAACGCCGAAGCUGUU